rnacentral:rRNA from 1 species
UACGUAGGGUGCGAGCGUUAAUCGGAAUUACUGGGCGUAAAGCGUGCGCAGGCGGUCUGUUAAGACCGAUGUGAAAUCCCCGGGCUUAACCUGGGAACUGCAUUGGUGACUGGCAGGCUUUGAGUGUGGCAGAGGGAGGUAGAAUUCCACGUGUAGCAGUGAAAUGCGUAGAGAAUGUGGAGGAAUACCGAUGGCGAAGGCAGCCUCCUGGGCCAAACACUGACGCUCAUGCACGAAAGCGUGGGGAGCGAAACAGG